rnacentral:rRNA from 1 species
UUAAGCGACUAAGCGUACACGGUGGAUGCCCUGGCAGUCAGAGGCGAUGAAGGACGUGCUAAUCUGCGAUAAGCGUCGGUGAGGUGAUAUGAACCGUUAUAACCGGCGAUUUCCGAAUGGGGAAACCCAGUGUGUUUCGACACACUAUCAUUAACUGAAUCCAUAGGUUAAUGAGGCGAACCGGGGGAACUGAAACAUCUAAGUACCCCGAGGAAAAGAAAUCAACCGAGAUUCCCCCAGUAGCGGCGAGCGAACGGGGAGGAGCCCAGAGCCUGAAUCAGUGUGUGUGUUAGUGGAAGCGUCUGGAAAGGCGCGCGAUACAGGGUGACAGCCCCGUACACAAAAAUGCACAUAUUGUGAGCUCGAUGAGUAGGGCGGGACACGUGGUAUCCUGUCUGAAUAUGGGGGGACCAUCCUCCAAGGCUAAAUACUCCUGACUGACCGAUAGUGAACCAGUACCGUGAGGGAAAGGCGAAAAGAACCCCGGCGAGGGGAGUGAAAAAGAACCUGAAACCGUGUACGUACAAGCAGUGGGAGCCUCUUAAUGGGGUGACUGCGUACCUUUUGUAUAAUGGGUCAGCGACUUAUAUUCUGUAGCAAGGUUAACCGAAUAGGGGAGCCGAAGGGAAACCGAGUCUUAACUGGGCGUUAAGUUGCAGGGUAUAGACCCGAAACCCGGUGAUCUAGCCAUGGGCAGGUUGAAGGUUGGGUAACACUAACUGGAGGACCGAACCGACUAAUGUUGAAAAAUUAGCGGAUGACUUGUGGCUGGGGGUGAAAGGCCAAUCAAACCGGGAGAUAGCUGGUUCUCCCCGAAAGCUAUUUAGGUAGCGCCUCGUGAAUUCAUCUCCGGGGGUAGAGCACUGUUUCGGCAAGGGGGUCAUCCCGACUUACCAACCCGAUGCAAACUGCGAAUACCGGAGAAUGUUAUCACGGGAGACACACGGCGGGUGCUAACGUCCGUCGUGAAGAGGGAAACAACCCAGACCGCCAGCUAAGGUCCCAAAGUCAUGGUUAAGUGGGAAACGAUGUGGGAAGGCCCAGACAGCCAGGAUGUUGGCUUAGAAGCAGCCAUCAUUUAAAGAAAGCGUAAUAGCUCACUGGUCGAGUCGGCCUGCGCGGAAGAUGUAACGGGGCUAAACCAUGCACCGAAGCUGCGGCAGCGACACUAUGUGUUGUUGGGUAGGGGAGCGUUCUGUAAGCCUGUGAAGGUGUACUGUGAGGUAUGCUGGAGGUAUCAGAAGUGCGAAUGCUGACAUAAGUAACGAUAAAGCGGGUGAAAAGCCCGCUCGCCGGAAGACCAAGGGUUCCUGUCCAACGUUAAUCGGGGCAGGGUGAGUCGACCCCUAAGGCGAGGCCGAAAGGCGUAGUCGAUGGGAAACAGGUUAAUAUUCCUAUACUUGGUGUUACUGCGAAGGGGGGACGGAGAAGGCUAUGUUGGCCGGGCGACGGUUGUCCCGGUUUAAGCGUGUAGGCUGGUUUUCCAGGCAAAUCCGGAAAAUCAAGGCUGAGGCGUGAUGACGAGGCACUACGGUGCUGAAGCGACAAAUGCCCUGCUUCCAGGAAAAGCCUCUAAGCAUCAGGUAACAUCAAAUCGUACCCCAAACCGACACAGGUGGUCAGGUAGAGAAUACCAAGGCGCUUGAGAGAACUCGGGUGAAGGAACUAGGCAAAAUGGUGCCGUAACUUCGGGAGAAGGCACGCUGAUAUGUAGGUGAAGCGACUUGCUCGUGGAGCUGAAAUCAGUCGAAGAUACCAGCUGGCUGCAACUGUUUAUUAAAAACACAGCACUGUGCAAACACGAAAGUGGACGUAUACGGUGUGACGCCUGCCCGGUGCCGGAAGGUUAAUUGAUGGGGUUAGCGGUAACGCGAAGCUCUUGAUCGAAGCCCCGGUAAACGGCGGCCGUAACUAUAACGGUCCUAAGGUAGCGAAAUUCCUUGUCGGGUAAGUUCCGACCUGCACGAAUGGCGUAAUGAUGGCCAGGCUGUCUCCACCCGAGACUCAGUGAAAUUGAACUCGCUGUGAAGAUGCAGUGUACCCGCGGCAAGACGGAAAGACCCCGUGAACCUUUACUAUAGCUUGACACUGAACAUUGAGCCUUGAUGUGUAGGAUAGGUGGGAGGCUUUGAAGUGUGGACGCCAGUCUGCAUGGAGCCGACCUUGAAAUACCACCCUUUAAUGUUUGAUGUUCUAACGUGGGCCCCUUACCGGGGUUGCGGACAGUGUCUGGUGGGUAGUUUGACUGGGGCGGUCUCCUCCUAAAGAGUAACGGAGGAGCACGAAGGUUGGCUAAUCCUGGUCGGACAUCAGGAGGUUAGUGCAAUGGCAUAAGCCAGCUUGACUGCGAGCGUGACGGCGCGAGCAGGUGCGAAAGCAGGUCAUAGUGAUCCGGUGGUUCUGAAUGGAAGGGCCAUCGCUCAACGGAUAAAAGGUACUCCGGGGAUAACAGGCUGAUACCGCCCAAGAGUUCAUAUCGACGGCGGUGUUUGGCACCUCGAUGUCGGCUCAUCACAUCCUGGGGCUGAAGUAGGUCCCAAGGGUAUGGCUGUUCGCCAUUUAAAGUGGUACGCGAGCUGGGUUUAGAACGUCGUGAGACAGUUCGGUCCCUAUCUGCCGUGGGCGCUGGAGAACUGAGGGGGGCUGCUCCUAGUACGAGAGGACCGGAGUGGACGCAUCACUGGUGUUCGGGUUGUCAUGCCAAUGGCACUGCCCGGUAGCUAAAUGCGGAAGAGAUAAGUGCUGAAAGCAUCUAAGCACGAAACUUGCCCCGAGAUGAGUUCUCCCUGACUCCUUGAGAGUCCUGAAGGAACGUUGAAGACGACGACGUUGAUAGGCCGGGUGUGUAAGCGCAGCGAUGCGUUGAGCUAACCGGUACUAAUGAACCGUGAGGCUUAACCUU